UAAGUUUGAGCUUUGAGAAUCUCUUUUCACUGCUGGCCACUGAGUGGAAGUGUGAGAAGAAUCCUUGGAGCAACAGAAGCACCAGGCACGGUUAUUCAGAAGUUUUUGUUGCACUAUGAGGAGAAGUGCUCAUUGUGGUGGCAUGGCAAAUUCAGUGCCAAAAAGCUGAAGUCAGAGGUAGGCCUAUGUUCUAGAGCCUGCUGUAAUUUAUUUAAUUGUGUUGUGUAUAUUGCGUUCAUUACAGUGAAAUACGCAAUAAGUUUAUUUUCUGAAUGUUCCUCCUGUUUCUGUUGACCUAAAGGUAACCUAACCUAAAAGCAAAUGGUUGGAAUUUAGCUAUCUUGGAGCUUCCAGUACUUAACCGUUAAAUACUGAAACAACAAGACAAUGAUUCCUGGGUAAAGUAACUGGAUAGUCCAGGCCUGCCAGAGCACACCCUGAAUUUCAUCAUUGAGCCUCACAGUUCUUUAUCCAAUUACCCCAAGUGACUGAAAGAGAACAAACACCUCCUUGCCACUCUUCUUCCACCUGGACUGCUUCCCAAGUGGUAAACUGAAUCAACUGGUGUCAAGCCCUAUGGCACAAAGGCAAGGAUUUGGUAAAAAGCCAAGCAAAACAUUAUGCAACUCAUUUCUGCCCCUUCUUAGCUGGUACACACACACACACAUUCACUGACUCCAAAAGGUAGCCUGCCUGCAAACAGGCGUUCUCUUUGCAGCAACAGGUGUGCGGUGAAUAGCUUGUGCUCCUCUGUAGAGUUCCAGCCAACCUCCUGAGAACAUUUUAAAUUAUUUUGCUCUUAACUUGUUUUUAGUACUAAUUUCUUCCAGCAUACCCUUGUUUAUAUGCAAUGUUGCAUAACAUACACAUUUUUGCAAAGCAUUUUUCCCUCAUAUAACAUAUUUUUGUAUGCUGUUUUCACAAAUACAGGCUUUACCCUAGGAUUGCUGUGCCUCAGAGACUGCAAAUAAGAUGUGUUCUCCUGUAAAUGUGAACUGAAUUGAAUUUCUCCCCCCAUCCCUAGUGACAAAAAGGGGGAAAUGGAAGCAAUGGAGGUAGCAGAGUUGGGUUGUGGUGACCCCCAUCCACUUGUGGCUCCAACCCUGCUCAAUGAAGCAGUCUAAGUCCCACAGAUUACCCCAAAGGCUAUCUGUGGUCUCAGCAGGGGAAAAAGGUUGCCUAUCCUGGUCUGAUGCCUCCUAAUGGAUUUUUAUUCCUCUGGCUCAACUCAUAUAUGCAAUUAAUUACUCACCAUAACUCCAAGCUCUCUUUGGCUCCAUCUGCUCUGUACAUUUGAAGCAAUGCUGCACCACUUUAAAACAUCUUUGCUUCCCCCUCAAGAAUCCUGGGAACUGUAGGUUUGUCUGUUGUU